UGCCUUACACAUGCAAGUCGAACGGCAGCACGGGUGCUUGCACCUGGUGGCGAGUGGCGAACGGGUGAGUAAUACAUCGGAACAUGUCCUGUAGUGGGGGAUAGCCCGGCGAAAGCCGGAUUAAUACCGCAUACGAUCUACGGAUGAAAGCGGGGGACCUUCGGGCCUCGCGCUAUAGGGUUGGCCGAUGGCUGAUUAGCUAGUUGGUGGGGUAAAGGCCUACCAAGGCGACGAUCAGUAGCUGGUCUGAGAGGACGACCAGCCACACUGGGACUGAGACACGGCCCAGACUCCUACGGGAGGCAGCAGUGGGGAAUUUUGGACAAUGGGCGAAAGCCUGAUCCAGCAAUGCCGCGUGUGUGAAGAAGGCCUUCGGGUUGUAAAGCACUUUUGUCCGGAAAGAAAUCCUUGGUUCUAAUAUAGCCGGGGGAUGACGGUACCGGAAGAAUAAGCACCGGCUAACUACGUGCCAGCAGCCGCGGUAAUACGUAGGGUGCGAGCGUUAAUCGGAAUUACUGGGCGUAAAGCGUGCGCAGGCGGUUUGCUAAGACCGAUGUGAAAUCCCCGGGCUCAACCUGGGAACUGCAUUGGUGACUGGCAGGCUAGAGUAUGGCAGAGGGGGGUAGAAUUCCACGUGUAGCAGUGAAAUGCGUAGAGAUGUGGAGGAAUACCGAUGGCGAAGGCA
rnacentral:rRNA from 1 species